GAGAGAGAGAGAGAGAGAAACGGAGGAAAUGAAAUACAUAUAUGUAAAUAUAUGUAUAUAAAUACCCUCAACGUAUAUGUAUAUAUGAGAUAAAAAAUAACACUUCUCUGUCAUUGAUUAUGCUCUCAUAAGACACUUCCCACAGAUGGGGGAUAAUCUCUAAUUUAUUGCCAAUAUAUGUUUGUGUGUAUGUUUCUCAUCCAUCACUUUUCUGUUAUGGAUAGCAUGCUUUAUCACAGGUCCUUUAGAAUCUUGGGUGGUCAUUGUGUUGACCAUAGUUCUUACAUCUUACAAAAUUGUUUGGUUUGGAAAGGUUCUGAUUAUUCCAGAUAUUGUUUUCUUGGCUCUUCUCAUCUCAUUCUUCAUCUAUUUAUAGAAGUCCUUAAAUUGUUCACUUUUAUCAUAUUGAUGUUAUAAAUUAUUCUGUGGUUCUGCUCCGUUCACUCUCCAUUAGUUCAUGUAAGUCUUCCUGGGUCUCUUGGAAAUAGAUUUCCCAUUUAUGACAUCAUAAUGGCAGAUAAGUGCUAUUAUCCUCAUUUGAUUGAAGGUGAAACUUAGACUAGGAGAAGUUUAAGUGCCUUGCUCAGAGUCACAUAGGUAGGGAGUGUCUGGUUCAGGAUUUGAACUCAGGUCUUUGAAACUCUAAAUCCAUCACAUUCAUAUGCUACAACUUAUUCAACUAUCCCUCAGCUGAUGGGCAGCUUGUUUGUUUGGGAGUAUUUUGCCACCAAAAGAAGAGUUACUGUCAAUGCCAAAAGCUUGGGUCCAGCCCUGCUCAUGGCUCUAGGGGUCCUCGUCAGGUGGAGCGGUGUAGGCAGAAAUGAAUGAUGGAAGAUAGCUGUGUGUGUAUAAUUGGGUAAGAUCCCUGCGUGCGGCAGCAAUCAAUGUGGCAUGAAGUGAAGCAGGCAGCUUCAAGAAGACAAUUUUAGGGCACCGUUUCUAGUCUCGUUUUCCUUUCCCAGGAGGUAAGCAGUCGGUCCUUCAAAAAGGAACUCAAAUACCCAGAAGGCUGCUGAAAUCCACUGCUGCUUCCAUGACCACGUUCCUGAUCCUACACGCCAUUCCUGCAGCAAAGAGAUGCUGACAAUAUAUGCUUAUUCUACGUCUCUGCUCUAUCGCCCAUCUGGACUUUGCACAGUGCCUAGCACAUAGAAGAUACUUAAUAAAAGGGAAUCGAAUUGAACUGAAUUAUGAACAGAGCACACUUCUAAGGUAGUGGGCCAUGGCUAUUACUACUAUCUUCAACUUGAUGAGAAAGCUCAGCAUCGGGGAAGGCAAGUGGCUGCAGCUCACGUGGGGUCAACUGGAGUUGGAGCUCGAGCUUCUUUUUUCUAGCACUGAGGCGCUUUCAGUGGCGUCCCACUGCCUUUGGGGGAAGCAGUGGCUCCUCUCUUUAUUAGAAGUUUGCUCCAACACGGUCUCUAGUUGUCUGUUUGUGUUUGGCACCCAGACCUUUAGAGGAAAGACGGUAAGUAGGUGUACUCUUCUGUCAGGUCUCUUAUAGUGCCUCAUGAGUCAGAAGAAGCCACUUCACGUGCCCUCCUUUGACAUGAAAGAACAAGGCACAGGACAGAGGAAGAGAUACCUGCUGGGCACCGUACUCUUUCCAUGGCACUCAAGACACAAGUGCAGCACAAUCUCUCUUAUUUUGGGUUUAGAUGACUGGAGAGGAAGGACAAUUCUAUCCAAACAGAUGUUUCUGUAACUAGAAUACACACUUCGCCUUUUAUGGUACAUUUUGUUUUCAAGGGGAAGACAUGCAAUUAAUGAGGAUCCAUUCCCUCACCUCUGUCAACAUCCUUAUUUGGGGGGUUCAAAUAUUUUAUGGUGAUCUCCAACCUCACUACAUAAUUCCAUCUUGGUGGGGCUUGUACCAAGUUGUUGUUUUUGAAUUCUUUCAUUCUGUCUUAGUAUCAAUUCUAAGGCAGAAGAGUGGCAAGGGCUGGGCCAUUGGGGUUAAGUGACUUGCCCCUGGUCACACCGCUAGCAAGUGCCCGAGGCCAGAUUUGAACAUAUUUCCUCCUAAUUCUAUGUCUAGUGCUUAGUUGCCCUGAUGAGUUUUGAUAGUUGCGUAUCCGUCUACUUUACACAACUUACCAAUUCUUUUAUAAGCGUUAUUCUGCUUUGAAAAAAAGAAAGCUAUGAAAACUUGGCUUCAUAAUAUAUCUACCAAGCCAAAAAAGAGGCAUUGGGAGAUCCCUGACUCCUUGUUCACUGUGGAAUUUAGAAUCCUUUUUCCUGAUCUUUAGCAGGGGCAGUGAAUUAAUUGCAUGAUGACUUUAAUUAAGAAGAACUUUAAUUUCUCUUUCUGUUCUUAUUGCUAUAAGUUUAUUGCUAUUUCUUAUUGUUUAUUUACUAGCAUUUCUAGUAAAAUGCUAAAUGAUAACGAUGACAAUCAAAUCCUCGUUUCACCCUUGAUCUUCUUGGAAUGCCUUCUAAUUUAUCCCCAUUAUAGAGAAUGCUUGCCGAUGGUUUUAGAUAGAUACUAUUUAUUUUAAGGAAACCUCCAUUUAUUUCAAUGCUUGUUCUAAAUGGAAAUGAGUACUUUAUUUUGUCAUAAGCCUUUUCUCCAUGUAUUGAGAUAAUGAUAUAUUUUUUAUUGUUUUUGUUAUGGAUGUGGUCAAUGUGCUAAUAAUUUUUCUAAUAUUGAACUAGCUCUAUAUUCCUAUUAGAAACUCCACCUGGUCAUAAAGUCGAAUCUCUGUGGUAUAUCCCUUUAAUUGUUAUGCUAGCAUUUUAUUUAACAUUUUUGCAUCAAUAAUCAUUAGAGUACUUGGUCAAGUUUUCUUUCUCUGUUUUUACUCUUCCUGGUUUAGGUUUCAUUAUAAUUCUGGUGUCAUAAAAAGACUCUGGUAGAACUACUGCUUUGCCUAUUUUUCCAAACUAUUUUGAAGAAAAGGACUAGAAUGAAUUUUUCUUUCAGUGCCUCUGGUGCUUGUAUCUGGUCCUGGAGAUGCUUCUUAGGGAGUUCGCUGAUGACUUGUUCAAUUUCUUUUUCUAAGAUAGAGUUAUUUAAGUAUUACAUUUCCUCUUUUUUUUUUUGCUAAACUGGGUAAUUUCUACUUUUGUAAAUAUUCAUCCAUUUCACUUAGAUCAUCAGAUUUGUUGGUAUAUAAUUGAAUAAAAUAGUUCCUAAUAAUUCCUUUAAUUUCCUCUUAGUUAGUGAUGAAUUCACGUUUGCCAUUUUUUUAUAUUGGUAAUUUCUUUCUUUUUCUUUCUUUUUUUAAAAUCCAAUUGACCAAUGUUUUAUCUUUUUUCCUUGUUUUUAAUAAAACUCCUUCUGAAUUUUA